rnacentral:misc_RNA from 1 species
GAUGAAGAACGUAGCGAAAUGCGAUAAGUAGUGUGAAUUGCAGAAUUCAGUGAAUCAUCGAAUCUUUGAACGCACAUUGCGCCUCCUGGUAUUCCGGGAGGCAUGCCUGUUCGAGCGUCAUCAAAAACCUCAACCCAUGAUUUAUUGUGAGUUGGUUCUGCAUUGGACUCCUUGUGGGUCCUUUGCGAAAUCCAAUGGCGAAGAGCCACGCAACCAAAGCGUAGUAUAACUAUUUCGUUAUGGAAGCGUGGGUGCAUCUGCCGUAACCCCCAAUUUCUUAGUUUUUGACCUCGGAUCAGGUAGGGAUACCCGCUGAACUUAAGCAUAUCAAUAAGCGGAGGA